GACGAACGCUGGCGGCGUGCUUAACACAUGCAAGUCGAACGGUAAGGCCUUUCGGGGUACACGAGUGGCGAACGGGUGAGUAACACGUGGGUGAUCUGCCCUGCACUUCGGGAUAAGCCCGGGAAACUGGGUCUAAUACCGGAUAGGACUGCGCGGUGCAUGCCGUGUGGUGGAAAGAUUUAUCGGUGCAGGAUGGGCCCGCGGCCUAUCAGCUUGUUGGUGGGGUAAUGGCCUACCAAGGCGACGACGGGUAGCCGGCCUGAGAGGGCGACCGGCCACACUGGGACUGAGACACGGCCCAGACUCCUACGGGAGGCAGCAGUGGGGAAUAUUGCACAAUGGGCGCAAGCCUGAUGCAGCGACGCCGCGUGAGGGAUGACGGCCUUCGGGUUGUAAACCUCUUCCAGCAGGGACGAAGCGUGAGUGACGGUACCUGCAGAAGAAGCACCGGCCAACUACGUG
rnacentral:rRNA from 1 species